UAAGUAAAUGCACACUUUCACAGCCAUUUCCAAGGUCACCACUUUUGGGGGCUGUUUGCUUAUAUGGUUGAGAGCAAAACAAGAACUUCCAGUUGUUCCUCAAGUUCCUCAAGCACAGGCAGAGAAUGAUUUAUCUUAUAGAUGAGUACAUAGGAAGGGACAGAAGCUCUACAAUUAAAUUAUUUUGAUUUGAAUCAUACUGCAUAUAUAACAGCCAUAAAAAUAACCAUUCUCCUCAACUGUGUUUUCUGGAUAUGUUAAUUAUCAGCCAGCUGUAAGGUGGAUAUAUUAUAGUAAGGAAUUCUGUCUUUCCUCACAACUUUCUUUUUUUCUUUUUCUGCCCUCUGACUUGACAGACAUGUCAGUACCACAUAUACAAACACACAUUGUACAUCCAACAACACUUUGGGUGAGGACUGAAACCCCUAAGGCAGAAAAAACACAAGAAUUUUUAAAGUGGAGCUUUCUCAGGCCAGACUAACACCAAUUAGUCUGAGCACCACAGCACGGCCUAACAGAAAUUCCAUUUGUGAGAGAAGGCCAAAUCAAAAGACAUUACUUACAUGUGUGAGUCUUCUUUGUUACAGAAAUACCUGUAGGGAAGAAACGACACCAGUGUUAGCAAAGCAACCAAAGUAAAUUCUUUUGACAUAUAAUUCAUCAUUAAUCUAUUUUAUCAGACACACAGCAGCCACUCUAAAGGAGGAAUGAAAAUUGCCAUGAUUUGUACGUUAAAGGUGGAAGGAUCUCCCCUCUGUGUGAAGAUUUUAAUGGUAUUUUCUCUCCUUACACCUCCCCAGUAAAUGUUUCAACAUGCAUUGCUUCAGCUUUGUUGCUGCAAUGUGUAUCUCCACACUGCUGGUUUAAAACUGGAGCUGAUACAAAACGAAGAUAACAGCAGUGCUAUGGAAGCCCCCUUUAUUUUCCAUAGCCAAAAAAGUUCCCACACUCCUAUUGACCCUGCCCAUUAAAGCACCCAGACAGAACGGAUUUGAGCAGCACAAGUCAUUUGCUGUCUUAUUAAGUCCAAGCAGUUCCUUGAAUGCAAGCUGUAGCUUAUGCUCAUUAAAGCCAAACAAACAGCUCUCUCAAUAUGACUAUUGCUUGUCAUAAUUCCAAGCCAGAUGCAAAUAUCUCCAAGCCAUUAAGGAUAGACUUUCUGAAGUAAUAAAGAUGUUUUCAUGCUAGACAGGCAUGUGGCAGCAAUCACCAAGGAUGGUCCAGUGCCAGUGAAAUUUGAGAGGCAUUUCAAAGAAAACAACAGUGAACAGAAUGAGGCAAAAUUCAUAAUACCAAAUAAAGAUAAAAUUAACUCUGUUAAAUGUCACUGGAAUUCAUGCUUGAAUACAAACAAUAUUGUCUCCACUUUAGUAGAUAACUGGUGACAUACUAGACCCAUCAGUAUUUAAGCUUCACUCUCCUUGGGGGUGAUUUUAUGAGAUGAUGAGAAAGAGGUUACUGGAAGCAGUACAAGUAUUUGAAACAUUUCAUUUGUAAUCAAGGCCUGUAAUAAAAUUUUGGAAUUGGGAUUGUCUGGCUUAAUAUUAAUGAAAGAGAGAGAGACCUGAAUCUCUUUUGCUACCCUCCAACUCCUUCAAACAUCUCUUCAAAAGCAGAUUACUAUGGACAGAGACAGGCUUUUAUUUCAGGCUUCCUGGUUGUGGAGCAUCUAAGAGAGGCAGCAAAUUACAGUAACUCAGAAAAAUGUAGACACCUUACUUGCAAAUACAGAGCUAAUUUCCAAAGCAAAUUUUUGAAAAAUAAUUUGCAAAAAUAAUUUGCUUUAAAAUUAUUUGUGUUUUUGAGAUACAUAAAACCCUAGUGCCAAUCCCAAAUAUUGAGCUAUCAAGUUUGACAUAACUGUCAUGAGGAUUUUUUUUUUUUUUUUAAAUCGCACUUAUGUUGCUGUUGGCAUUGGUUUUGAACUACCAAGCUCUACAAGUGUGAGCACUGGGACCUUUGGUUUCCCUGAAACGUUAAGAGGCUUCAGGCUUUGGGAAGUGAAGUUCUUUGGGCAGUUUUGCAAAUGUGAUACGCUGAUAAGCAAUUUACAGAAAUGAGAAUACUAGAACUUGAUUAUGUAUGUGUAUUAACUUGAAUUGAAAGGCCCUGGCAACCUGCACAUGCCUCACACAAGGAAUCAUAUUUGUUAUAGCCACAAACCGUAGAGUCAAGGUAAGCAAUAAAACCAAAACAGAACAAAAACCCCAGAAUCACAAAAAUAUCUACUACAGGGGGAAAACUCAUCCUUUAAAUUCAGAAUUUGUAAGAGCAAAAGGUCUCAGGUUUUCAUUCCAGUCCCACCAUCACUGGCUGGCUCAGAGUAGGGGACAGGACAGGAGGGUGUGACAAGGACAGACAUGAGCACAUUUGCAUUUUUGCUGCUGUUUGACUUCUUGAGUGACUCCUGAGCAGCAGGUACAGCUCCUGACAGCAUCCUCAUCUUCACAGACUGUCCUAACACCCCCUUGGCAGACACUCUUGCCUUGCCCUUGCCUAUCUGUCUGAUUCCAAUGAUUUUAAGGAUGUUUUAUGGAAUGGGAAAGCAGAGAAAAAGGUCUUUAAUCUGAACACCAUUUGCAAAACUUCCACUCCCAGCCCUCGUGCUAAUAAAUGGAUACAGCAGUGCUCUUUCAGCAUUAUGGGAGCCAUAUGUGUACUUUUCUCAGAAAAUAAUGCUUUCUGUAAAAUCACUUUGAACAGAAAGUGCUUAUGCUGUCACUUCUGAUUACUCACAGCCUCUUCACAAUGGGAUUUGCCACAGCACAAAACAGACUUAGCUGUAUUCGCUGACUGAGGACCCACUUUCCCUGAUACAUGAAACACUGCACUGAUGGAAAUAUUACUGCUUAUAUUUUUCUACCUUUUUUUUUUUUUUUUAAACGUGAGAUGCGUCGUGGGUUUUUCCAAAUCAGAUGUUUCCAUAAUAAUUACCGAUUAUCAUCUGGUAAAACCUUUUAGCUGGUUUAUGCAGAUAUUUUUAGAUAACCUUUUAAAGGAACAGCUUAGAGGUAGAUAUUUUUGCAUCUCCUUCAUUCCAUUGGUGGUUGCAUUGAAAACAAAGUAUUUUGCUUUGAGCUGUGGUUUUAAAGCAGCUGCAAUCUGGUGGAACAAGGAUAAAUGUUGCCAGUGAGUUCAAUGGGAUUACCUUUAAAUUAAUCAGUAAUCUUCAAUUAUAUAAAAUAAAAUAUGAAGUUUUAAGUAGUCUUCCUUUUCCCACAGGUAACUCUAAGUGACUAGAAAAACUGAGCAAAAAAGGUACCAGCUUAUCCAGAAAGUAACUUAAAUUAUAUAUAUGGUCUUAGUUAUAAUGUAUCUUAUAAUAUAUUAUAUUAAUUGUAUAUUAUAUUAUAUGUAUAUUAUAUUAUGUAUCUUCUAUUAUAAGAUACAUUAUAACUAGUGAUUUAAAUAUAAACAUUGAAGAUGCAACACUGUGAUCAGGUUUCCUUGCAUUACAGGAAGCCAAUGACUGCUAUCCAGGACGUCCAAGGUAGGCAAUAAUAACCUAGAAAUGAGUGGAUUGUGCAAAGAAAAAAAAACAGUCAUGAAAUCACUUAAUGUAAAAAGGGGGAAUUACAAGAGUCUGGCUCUCUCUGGGGCAGUGCUACAUUCCACUUGCUUCAACAUGUGAAUGCCUCUCCUAGGCAGUCAACACAUCAGCUCUCUUAAAAUCAACAGGGUCUCUUGAGAAACAAACUCUGCAAGUCCAACAUACACCAGUAAUUUUCUUCACAAGAUCAGGCACAAUUACCAAGGAUUACUCUUGUUUGUAAAUAUUUCUGGGGCAGGACAAUCAGUUUAUGUAGAUUUGAGUAGACACCAUAGAAUAAAACCUAAACCAAACACACCACUGAAAGAGAGAUUUAUUUUUAAUAAGUAGAGUACAAAGAAGCUACUGAUUCAUUUUAAAAUGUUACUUAGUAUAAAAUCCCAUUUUAAAAUGGGUUUCAUUUCAAAAUGUGAUAGGCUGGAGAAGUAAGUGACUGCUUGCCAGUAUUAGUACUCUCCUACACUGCCAGCAUUCCAUUCUCACUGAAGAACAAAUAUAAAAAACAUAAAGAGAGGAAGAAACAACACUGUAACUUCAGUGUUGCUAAUACAGAAAGACUUCCUGACUUAACCAACUAGACUUCAAAGUAAAGCAAAGGAAAUGUCAUGAAAAUAUCACAGUAUAUCACUGCCAUGGUUAUCAGUGAGUGAAAGUUUCAGUAUUACAGUUAUCACCGAAUGUAUCACUUCCGCAGUGCAAUUUGACAUUCCUGAUCAACACCAAAUCUUAAACAAAUUAACUUCUUACACUUUUCAUGGUGGCUAUACAAUGCUCUUUAAAACAACAAUUGUUUUUUUUUUUUAAUGAAAAGAACUUCUACACCAUUCCCUUUCCCCCUCCCACUAAUAGUAUGUAAUUUGCCAUGAUGGGUGGUAUUUACAAAAAUAGCUUGCUGGAUGCAAUGAACUUUGAAAAGAGUAUCUACCAACAGAGACAGGAUAUUCUUUUGCAAGCAGUUAGCCUGACUGACCUUCACUAGCCAACUUCAAAUAGAGAUAACAAUGUCUUAAAGUACAAAAAGAGACUCAGAUAUUUUAUACAUCAUAAGCUAUUUCUCACAGUUGCCCAUCCAAAUAAAGCAGCAUAAUGAAACACUGCUUACUCUGUGAACCCAGAUCCCUGCUGCUGUUGUACAGUUGUCAGCUCCCCGUAUUUCAAGGGGAAAACACACUUUGAUGUACAGAAAGAUAAGUAAAAGGGCCUUUGUCUGGCAGAAUACAUUACUCUGCAAAAUAUCAAAGAAGAAUAUCCUUGAGUACAAUUUUCUUAAACCUCUAAGAAAACGCUCCCUCAGAAGUCUGUAUGGAUAAACACAGGCAUCACCAGCAGAGCUCACAACUCAUCUCCAGCACUUCUGUUAAGCACCACUGUGUUUCCCCUGGCUCUACUUUUUGUGUCCAAAUCAGGUGAUUAACACUGCUCUGAUGACAGCACAUUCUGCAGAUGCUCUGGGUAUAAGAUGCUUUGCACAUGUGGGUGUGUGCAAUCAAUACAUGUUUCCCUUUUAACUUUCUCCUACCCUCCCCUCAGGCCAGCACUAUGUCCAUAGCAUAUUUUGGAACUCAGGCAUUUUAGGGGGGAUUGGAAAUCCCGGGAGAAAAAAAACCCCAAAUCUUAAAAUUUUAAUCUCCUAGCCUCCUGCCUGACAUAUUGUGUAAAAUCAGAAAGAAAACAUAUCACAAGCUUGGAUCCCACUGUGUUUCAUCCUGUCACACCAAUUCUUUUUUACUGUCACCACACAAAGCUGGCAAUUAUGGCAGAAGAUUAUGUGUAACACUGGGACACUUGCAGAGAACCUACCAAGGCAGAAUAAUAGAUUUAGGUGUAUUCAGUGAUCCUUGGGAGCUUGUUUACACUGACCAAGGUGAAACAGCACAUAUCAAAUACUGCAAACACAACUUAAAUGAAUUAACAUCUGAAAUAAAAUCACGUAGCAAAACAUCUAGGAUGUUUAUCUAGGACAGAAGAGCUGUUAAUGAUUAUUAGCACACACUACUGAAAGUACUCCAAGUAAUUUCACUAUUUUGUUUCCAAACUAUACUCUACUGCUUACAGUUCACUCAAGAAAAAAUUAAAAUUAGAUUUAAGGUGAGCAUGGAUCAAGGACAAGAGUCACUAAGCAUGUACAAACAAGAAAGCUUUCAAAAAUUAUGAUACCGCCCCUCCAAAAUAAAACCAAACCGAAAUGUCUCUUAAAAAAAAAAAAAAAA
ensembl:lncRNA